GUUGUGCUUUUGAUCGGCAUUAGUACGCAUCUCAACAGUGUCGGGGAGAGAGAGAGAGAGAGAGAGAGGGGCUCAUGGCUUACGCGACGGUGAAGGUUCCUCCGAACUCGGCGAGCCGAGAGGAGGCCCGGAAGCGGACGAUCGACUUCUUCAAAAUGGCCUGCCGAUCCCUCCCCGCCGUGAUGGAGAUCUACAACCUCGAGGACGUCAUCGCCGUCUCCCAACUCCGCUCCACCGUCUCCGCCGAGAUCCGCAAGAACGCCCACAUCGCCAACCCAAAGGUCAUUGAUUUGCUUCUUUUCAAGGGAACGGAGGAACUUAGCAACAUAGUCACACAUUCAAAGCAGCGACACCACUUAAUUGGCCAAUAUGUUGUCGGACGUGGAGGGCUAGUGCAGGACAUGGGGACAAAAGAACAAGGGAUUUCUGAGUUUUUGAAACAGUUCUAUACGAGCAAUUAUUUCUGAACAUACUCCAAAACUGGAAGGACCAAUCUCUUAACUUAUUCUGGUUCAUAAAGUUCACAAGGUUGCUGUGUAGCACAAGGAAAUGAGAUUUUGAUCCAGUUCAUCUGGAUCACUGUGUUUCGGGAGACAUUGAGAAAUAUUUUUCAAUGCAUGCUUUUUUAUCAUUUCUCUUUUAGACAAAUUCAUGGCACUUUCAUGAUUAAAUUUGUGCAGUUUCUGCUGACUAAAUCCUGUUCGAGUGUUAAAAGUGCAUGUUUGGUUGUUCUGCAGAUAGUGCAAGCAUUCUUGCAGCCUUUGCUCAUUUUUGAGUUGGUCAAGAGGGUUUCCCCAGGUAGACAUCAUCAAGAAGUAUGCACACCAUAUGCUCUUCUACAUUCACCUAUUUAGCGGCUGGCAUAAAGCAGAUCAUUUUCUGAGUAAUGUGGAGCAGGAAAUAAUGAUGCCGAUGAAGAGUGAUGUAGAAGACAAUGGCUUGUGCUCUUCCAUCUUGGAGAUGAUGAGGAUUGGUAAUGCAUAAUAUUUUGAUUUAAUUGAUGAAGAGUGUAGGAGAGGGAAUAAAAGGAAGAGGAUAACAUCUACAGCAUCUCUGAAAUUAGAUAUUAAUUUCUGAAA